CAAGAUCUUCCCACUGGGGGAAACUGGGUAAAGGGUACAGAGGAUCCCUCUGUAUUAUUUCUUGAAAUUGCAUAUUAGUUAACAAUUACCUCAAAAGUUUAGUUUUGAAAAUCAUAAUGUAUGUCCCUUUCAUUUUACUGAAAUAAAUAUUCAGAGCACUUAAUAACACAUUUUACAGUCCAGCUCAUCUCUAUGGUAUGGUCACCCAUGAUAAUAUGAAAAGAACCUUUGAAAGUUGUAUUUUCAGAAGCAAAAAUACCAACAAUACUAGGUUAUUUGCCUAGUCUCACUUGGAUUUUAAUGAGCUUGAAAAAUGCACCUGUUGUAUUAGAUGUAAUUUUUCCUUCUUUUUUUUUCCAGCCUUUUUCUCAUUGUUCUCGUCAUAUCAGACAUUAUGGCUUUGCAUUUUUUCUUCUUGGUCAAGGAUUAUGGCAGCUGGCUUGAUAUUGGGACAAGGUAUAGUAUAUAUGGUCAUGCAUUGCUUAACAACAGGGAUAAGUUCUGAGAAAUAUAUUGUUAGGCAAUUUCUUCACUGUGCAAACAUCACAGAGUAUAUUCACACAAACCUAGAUGGUGUAGCCUACAACACACCUAGGAUAUGGUACAGCCUAUUGCUCCUAGACUAUAAACCUGUACAGCAUGUUAUCAUACUGAAUACUGUAGGCAAUUGUAACCCAAUGGUAAGUAUUUAUGUAUCUACACAUAGAAAAGGUAUAGUAAAAAAUUCAGUGUAAAAGAUUUUUUAACUGGUAUACCUAU
rnacentral:lncRNA from 10 species